rnacentral:rRNA from 1 species
CCUACGGGGGGCAGCAGUGGGGAAUAUUGCACAAUGGGCGCAAGCCUGAUGCAGCCAUGCCGCGUGUGUGAAGAAGGCCUUCGGGUUGUAAAGCACUUUCAGCGGGGAGGAAGGCGGUGAGGUUAAUAACCUCAUCGAUUGACGUUACCCGCAGAAGAAGCACCGGCUAACUCCGUGCCAGCAGCCGCGGUAAUACGGAGGGUGCAAGCGUUAAUCGGAAUUACUGGGCGUAAAGCGCACGCAGGCGGUCUGUCAAGUCGGAUGUGAAAUCCCCGGGCUCAACCUGGGAACUGCAUUCGAAACUGGCAGGCUAGAGUCUUGUAGAGGGGGGUAGAAUUCCAGGUGUAGCGGUGAAUGCGUAGAGAUCUGGAGGAAUACCGGUGGCGAAGGCGGCCCCCUGGACAAAGACUGACGCUCAGGUGCGAAAGCGUGGGGAGCAAACAGGAUUAGAUACCCUAGUAGUC